rnacentral:tRNA from 1 species
GGAGAGAUGGCUGAGCGGUCGAAAGCGGCGGUCUUGAAAACCGUUAGGGGCCUUGCGCUCCUCCUGGGUUCGAAUCCCAGUCUCUCCGCCA